GACGAACGCUGGCGGCGUGCCUAAUACAUGCAAGUAGAACGCUGAAGGCCGAGCUUGCUUCUCCGCAUGAGUUGCGAACGGGUGAGUAACGCGUAGGUAACCUGCCUGGUAGCUGGGGAUAACUAUUGGAAACGAUAGCUAAUACCGCAUAAGAGUAGAUGUCGCAUGACAUUUGCUUAAAAGUUGCAACUGCACCACUACCAGAUGGACCUGCGUUGUAUUAGCUAGUUGGUGGGGUAACGGCACACCAAGGCAACGAUACAUAUCCGACCUGAGAGGGGGAUCGGCCAGCCUGGGAGUGAGACCGGGCACAGAGUCACUCGGGUGGCAGCCGUAGGGAAUCUGCGGCCAGGGACGGAAGUCUGAGCGAGCAACGCGGCGUGAGUGAAGAAGGUCGUCGGAUCGUAGAGCUCUGUUGUAAGAGAAGAACGCGUGUGAGCGUGGAAAGUUCACACUGUGACGGUAUCUUAUCAGAAAGGAACGGCUAACUACGUG
rnacentral:rRNA from 1 species